rnacentral:rRNA from 1 species
CUGGCGGCGUGCCUAAUACAUGCAAGUCGAACGCACUCUCGUUUAGAUUGAAGGAGCUUGCUCCUGAUUGAUAACAUUUGAGUGAGUGGCGGACGGGUGAGUAACACGUGGGUAACCUGCCCUAAAGUGGGGGAUAACAUUUGGAAACAGAUGCUAAUACCGCAUAAAACCUAACACCGCAUGGUGUAGGUUGAAAGAUGGUUUCGGCUAUCACUUUAGGAUGGACCCGCGGUGCAUUAGUUAGUUGGUGAGGUAAAGGCUCACCAAGACCGUGAUGCAUAGCCGACCUGAGAGGGUAAUCGGCCACACUGGGACUGAGACACGGCCCAGACUCCUACGGGAGGCAGCAGUAGGGAAUCUUCCACAAUGGACGAAAGUCUGAUGGAGCAACGCCGCGUGAGUGAAGAAGGUUUUCGGAUCGUAAAACUCUGUUGUUGGAGAAGAAUGUAUCUGAUAGUAACUGAUCAGGUAGUGACGGUAUCCAACCAGAAAGCCACGGCUAACUACGUG